rnacentral:rRNA from 1 species
GGGUUGUGAGGUUAAGCGACUAAGCGUACACGGUGGAUGCCCUGGCAGUCAGAGGCGAUGAAGGACGUGCUAAUCUGCGAUAAGCGUCGGUAAGGUGAUAUGAACCGUUAUAACCGGCGAUUUCCGAAUGGGGAAACCCAGUGUGAUUCGUCACACUAUCAUUAACUGAAUCCAUAGGUUAAUGAGGCGAACCGGGGGAACUGAAACAUCUAAGUACCCCGAGGAAAAGAAAUCAACCGAGAUUCCCCCAGUAGCGGCGAGCGAACGGGGAGCAGCCCAGAGCCUGAAUCAGUGUGUGUGUUAGUGGAAGCGUCUGGAAAGGCGCGCGAUACAGGGUGACAGCCCCGUACACAAAAAUGCACAUGCUGUGAGCUCGAUGAGUAGGGCGGGACACGUGGUAUCCUGUCUGAAUAUGGGGGGACCAUCCUCCAAGGCUAAAUACUCCUGACUGACCGAUAGUGAACCAGUACCGUGAGGGAAAGGCGAAAAGAACCCCGGCGAGGGGAGUGAAAAAGAACCUGAAACCGUGUACGUACAAGCAGUGGGAGCACAGAGCAAUCUGUGUGACUGCGUACCUUUUGUAUAAUGGGUCAGCGACUUAUAUUCUGUAGCAAGGUUAACCGAAUAGGGGAGCCGAAGGGAAACCGAGUCUUAACUGGGCGUUAAGUUGCAGGGUAUAGACCCGAAACCCGGUGAUCUAGCCAUGGGCAGGUUGAAGGUUGGGUAACACUAACUGGAGGACCGAACCGACUAAUGUUGAAAAAUUAGCGGAUGACUUGUGGCUGGGGGUGAAAGGCCAAUCAAACCGGGAGAUAGCUGGUUCUCCCCGAAAGCUAUUUAGGUAGCGCCUCGUGAAUUCAUCUCCGGGGGUAGAGCACUGUUUCGGCAAGGGGGUCAUCCCGACUUACCAACCCGAUGCAAACUGCGAAUACCGGAGAAUGUUAUCACGGGAGACACACGGCGGGUGCUAACGUCCGUCGUGAAGAGGGAAACAACCCAGACCGCCAGCUAAGGUCCCAAAGUCAUGGUUAAGUGGGAAACGAUGUGGGAAGGCCCAGACAGCCAGGAUGUUGGCUUAGAAGCAGCCAUCAUUUAAAGAAAGCGUAAUAGCUCACUGGUCGAGUCGGCCUGCGCGGAAGAUGUAACGGGGCUAAACCAUGCACCGAAGCUGCGGCAGCGACGCUGAUGCGUUGUUGGGUAGGGGAGCGUUCUGUAAGCCUGCGAAGGUGUGCUGUGAGGUAUGCUGGAGGUAUCAGAAGUGCGAAUGCUGACAUAAGUAACGAUAAAGCGGGUGAAAAGCCCGCUCGCCGGAAGACCAAGGGUUCCUGUCCAACGUUAAUCGGGGCAGGGUGAGUCGACCCCUAAGGCGAGGCCGAAAGGCGUAGUCGAUGGGAAACAGGUUAAUAUUCCUGUACUUGGUGUUACUGCGAAGGGGGGACGGAGAAGGCUAUGUUGGCCGGGCGACGGUUGUCCCGGUUUAAGCGUGUAGGCUGGUUUUCCAGGCAAAUCCGGAAAAUCAAGGCUGAGGCGUGAUGACGAGGCACUACGGUGCUGAAGCAACAAAUGCCCUGCUUCCAGGAAAAGCCUCUAAGCAUCAGGUAACAUCAAAUCGUACCCCAAACCGACACAGGUGGUCAGGUAGAGAAUACCAAGGCGCUUGAGAGAACUCGGGUGAAGGAACUAGGCAAAAUGGUGCCGUAACUUCGGGAGAAGGCACGCUGAUAUGUAGGUGAAGCGACUUGCUCGUGGAGCUGAAAUCAGUCGAAGAUACCAGCUGGCUGCAACUGUUUAUUAAAAACACAGCACUGUGCAAACACGAAAGUGGACGUAUACGGUGUGACGCCUGCCCGGUGCCGGAAGGUUAAUUGAUGGGGUCAGCGCAAGCGAAGCUCUUGAUCGAAGCCCCGGUAAACGGCGGCCGUAACUAUAACGGUCCUAAGGUAGCGAAAUUCCUUGUCGGGUAAGUUCCGACCUGCACGAAUGGCGUAAUGAUGGCCAGGCUGUCUCCACCCGAGACUCAGUGAAAUUGAACUCGCUGUGAAGAUGCAGUGUACCCGCGGCAAGACGGAAAGACCCCGUGAACCUUUACUAUAGCUUGACACUGAACAUUGAGCCUUGAUGUGUAGGAUAGGUGGGAGGCUUUGAAGUGUGGACGCCAGUCUGCAUGGAGCCGACCUUGAAAUACCACCCUUUAAUGUUUGAUGUUCUAACGUUGACCCGUAAUCCGGGUUGCGGACAGUGUCUGGUGGGUAGUUUGACUGGGGCGGUCUCCUCCUAAAGAGUAACGGAGGAGCACGAAGGUUGGCUAAUCCUGGUCGGACAUCAGGAGGUUAGUGCAAUGGCAUAAGCCAGCUUGACUGCGAGCGUGACGGCGCGAGCAGGUGCGAAAGCAGGUCAUAGUGAUCCGGUGGUUCUGAAUGGAAGGGCCAUCGCUCAACGGAUAAAAGGUACUCCGGGGAUAACAGGCUGAUACCGCCCAAGAGUUCAUAUCGACGGCGGUGUUUGGCACCUCGAUGUCGGCUCAUCACAUCCUGGGGCUGAAGUAGGUCCCAAGGGUAUGGCUGUUCGCCAUUUAAAGUGGUACGCGAGCUGGGUUUAGAACGUCGUGAGACAGUUCGGUCCCUAUCUGCCGUGGGCGCUGGAGAACUGAGGGGGGCUGCUCCUAGUACGAGAGGACCGGAGUGGACGCAUCACUGGUGUUCGGGUUGUCAUGCCAAUGGCACUGCCCGGUAGCUAAAUGCGGAAGAGAUAAGUGCUGAAAGCAUCUAAGCACGAAACUUGCCCCGAGAUGAGUUCUCCCUGACUCCUUGAGAGUCCUGAAGGAACGUUGAAGACGACGACGUUGAUAGGCCGGGUGUGUAAGCGCAGCGAUGCGUUGAGCUAACCGGUACUAAUGAACCGUGAGGCUUAACCUUACAACGCCGAAGGUGUUU